UAAGCAUAUCAAUAAGCGGAGGAAAAGAAACCAACAGGGAUUGCCCUAGUAACGGCGAGUGAAGCGGCAAAAGCUCAGAUUUGAAAUCUCUUUAUUUGAUAAAGCGAAUUGUAAUCUGUAGAAGGUUGAAUGGUUGAAUAUUCUGAUUUAAUUUUUUUGGAACAAAAAAUCAUAGAGGGUGAGAAUCCCGUGACUAUCAGAAAAUAGACCAAUUAAUUCACCUUUCGACGAGUCGAGUUGUUUGGGAAUGCAGCUCUAAAUGGGUGGUAAAUUUCAUCUAAAGCUAAAUACCUGCCAGAGACCGAUAGCGAACAAGUAGAGUGAUCGAAAGAUGAAAAGCACUUUGAAAAGAGAGUUAAAAAGUACGUGAAAUUGUUGAAAGGGAAGCGCUUGCGAUUAGACUUGAUAAUUAAAUUCGAUCAAUUAAUUAAUUCGAUUUAUUUUUUGAUUAUCAGGCCAGCAUCAGUUUGGUGGGAUUUAUAAAAUUAAUCGGAAUGUAGUAAUUAUUUCGAUAAUUAUGUUAUAGCCUUUUAAAUAAUAAAUCCACACCGGACUGAGGUCUGCCCUUUUGGAAGGAUGCUGGCAUAAUGAUCGUAAGCGACCCGUCUUGAA
rnacentral:rRNA from 1 species